rnacentral:lncRNA from 1 species
UUUUAUAUAAAUAUAUAUGUUACAAAUCAAAAAAAAUGUCAAACAAUAAUAGUUCCAGAAAAAACAGUAACACAAAUUCGGAUUCAUUAGUUAAUUUGAAUAAAUAUAACGAUAUGCUUAUUAAUAGUAAUUUAUCUAGCAAAUGUAAUAUUGCAAACAUUUUGAAAAUGUAUGAUGAUGAAUUACAAAGUUCCAAAAAUGAACGCAAUAGUAGUUGUUCACGUUUGCAGACUGAAGAUUUAUUUCGUCAAAUAACUGAUUGUACACGUCAAAAUACAUAUUUAACUAAUAUAGAUUGCUCCAGUGAUUUAAAUAACUCAACAAAUGAAAAUAAUAUUUUAUUAUUAUACAAAAAUUUAAUUAGAAAUUUAUCUACAUCAGAUAAGCAUGUAGGUGAUGACGUAAAUAGUAACAAUUGUUUUUUUACCUCAUCUAUAAUAUCAAAAACGAGUCCCUCAGAAACUUUAAAAAGCACAGAAAAAAACGCACCAAGUGAUGCCGUGGAAUCAAACUUAUUUCACCAUAAUCAAAAACAAGCACAAUUGCCUUGUGAAAAUAAUGUUAUAGAAGGAUGUGCACCAGAAUGUGCCAAAGAAUAUUCACCAGAAUGUGUCGAAGAAUAUUCACCAGAAUACACAGAAAGAUACGCACCCGAAUGUACAGAAGAUAUUGAACAUUUGAGCAGCCUAAUAAAAAACAUCAAGAUAGAGUCGAACAAAUUUGAUGAUAAGACACAAUCAAUUACUAAAGACCACUCCGGAAACAUGAAAAACUCCUUCAUAUGUUACAAUAAUCAGAACAAUUCACAAAAUAAUAGUAUAUUGUGUAUGGAUAAUAAUAUUAUUUCAGCUGAUGACAAAAAUACCUUUUUUGAAAAAUGUUGUGAUUCUGCUGGUCGUACUUAUGGUAAUAAAGAUUUGAACAAGUGUCCAUUGAAUUCAUCUGUUACAUCAUUCCAAACAAAAAACACAACAAAUUUAAAUACAAGUUAUAGAAAUUUAGGAAGUAUACAAGUAUUACCUACUAUGGAUAAUGCUGAAAAUAGCUAUAACGCCUGUCAUUCGAAUCGAAAAACACUUGUAGAAAAUAAAAUAAAUGCAUUAAAACAAAAAAAUCAUUCACCAAAUAAAAACAAUUCAUUUUUGUCAAAUCAUAAAAACACAAAUGUCUUGGAUCACGAAAAUAAUGAUACAUUAUUACUGAAUAAAAAAUACCAUUCUGAAAACGCAAUAUUGUCGUUAAAAAAUACAAAGUCAGAAAAUAAAAAUUAUGAUCUUAGUACACAUGAUAACAUGAAUAAAGAUGGUAAACAAAAUAACAUAAUUCAUAAAGGAAAAUUAAAAACUUAUUCAUUAGACGAAAUAAAAAAUAAUAAAGUAAAAAUGCCUAAUGUUAUAUUUACUAAAUUACCAUUAGUUCCACAAGGGCAUAAUCCAGUAGAUUCGUAUGUAAAAAAUCAUAAACUGCUAAGUUUUAUGAAAGAUUGUAAUGAUUCAGUUAAUAUUGUAUUAAAGUACCCAAAAAUUACUAAAAAACAUACAGGAACAAUAAAAGUACCUGUGGAAAUGGCCCAUUCAAUUAGAAAUAACAUCGGAAUGCCUAUAGUGUAUGAAGAUAAUUUUGAUAGAAAAAAUUAUCACCCAGCUGUUAAAAAUUUACAUAUGGGAAAUAUAUUUGAAAAACAUGUUUUUAAUAUGUUAAAAAAUAAAAAAGAAUUGGGACAAGACGUAUUUAAAAGCAUUAAUAAAUAUGAAAAAUUUAAUUAUGAUAAUAAUAAUGGAUUUUGGAUAAGUCAUCCUGAUAUAAAUCCUUUAAAAAACAAUACAACAGAAACUAGUAGUUAUAUUACAGAAUUGGUUUAUGAAAAAGAAAAUUCAUAUGGCGAAGAAAUGAACAUGUUAAUGAAAUGUGAAAAUUAUGAUGCUAUACCACCUUUAUCCGAAGUGUAUAAAAAUAAUGAUUUUUAUAAAUUCUUACAAAAAGAAGCAAUAAAACCUGGAGUUUUAAAACCAACCAUAGCAACUAUAAUGCGACGUUAUGAUAUAGAACAUGUUUCAGAUUAUCAAAAAAUUUCUUCUUCUGAAUGCAUAACACCUAUUCUUACUUAACUAUAUACAUACUUAUUUCCAUAGGUACUCACGUAUAUAUAUUGAUAUAAAGAAUGUACAUGCAAACAUAAACAAUUAUGAACGUAUGCUAGAAUAAACAUUCAAUUAUGUGCUUGUAUUCA